rnacentral:rRNA from 1 species
ACGAGGGGGGCAAGUGUUGUUCGGAAUCACUGGGCGUAAAGGGAGCGUAGGCGGACGCUUAAGUUGGAUGUUUAAAACCGGGGCCUAACCCCGGCGUGGCAUCCAAAACUGGGCGUCUUGAAUGGGACAGAGGCUGGUGGAAUUGGAGGUGUAGCGGUGGAAUGCGUAGAGAUCUCCAAGAACACCCGUUGCGAAGGCGGCUAUCUGGCCCGUUAUUGACGCUGAGGCGCGAAAGCGUGGGGGGCAAACA